rnacentral:rRNA from 1 species
UACGGAGGGGGCUAGCGUUGUUCGGAAUUACUGGGCGUAAAGCGCGCGUAGGCGGCUUUGUAAGUUAGAGGUGAAAGCCCGGAGCUCAACUCCGGAACUGCCUUUAAAAACUGCAUCGCUUGAAUCCAGGAGAGGUGAGUGGAAUUCCGAGUGUAGAGGUGAAAUUCGUAGAUAUUCGGAAGAACACCAGUGGCGAAGGCGGCUCACUGGACUGGUAUUGACGCGUGAGGUGCGAAAGCGUGGGGAGCAAACAGG